rnacentral:lncRNA from 1 species
UAUAUGUAUAUAUAUAUGUAUAUAUAUACACACACAUACACACAUAAAUAUAUAAAGUGUUUCAUUUAGGAAAGAAAAAAUACAAAUUAUAAAAAAUUUCCAAUAUUCAAUGUGUAUCCUUAGAUGCUUGUAUUUUAUUGCGGCUGAAAAUAUAUAUUUUUUAAACCUGAGUUAUUUCUGUUCCCCGUCCCACCACAUCCAUUCUUAAUAUCUAUCAACACUCCUUUUUAUGUAUGUCCACGUUCCUUUUUUCUUUUCUUCUCUGUCUGUAAUAAAUUUCUUCACAACAUCUCUACAUUUUCUCUCUCGCUGUCCUAGUUUGGAAUCUCUCUGUCUGUCUCUCUCUCUCUCUGUUAUUUUUAGUCUUUAGCUUCCACUCCCAACUUCCCUGCUGCCGCCACUACCUUCCGUCUCCAAAAUAUUUGUUUUAUUGCUUCUGUCAGUGGUGUUCCUUACAUAUUUGUAAUUAAAGCAAAAUCUACAUCAUUAAACCAUUAAAACGUUUUGCUUUGUGUCCAGCAGCCAGUGAUGUUAACCCUAACCCUAACCCUCAAUACUGUGAUCCUUUACAUUGUUGCCAGACACUGCAAAAUAUGUAACCCUGGCUCUGGGAACAUUGCUACUAUCAAUCUUUAGGGAGUUUGCAUGUCCCCUCUCCUCCUCAUCGUCCUGCCUCUCCUAUGAAUAUUCCAUAAUAUGGUAAGUUACUCUUUCUCUCUAACUUGUUAUUUUUUUUUUUUUUACUUUUGAGAUUGUUUAAUAUUUUUUUAACCCCAUUUAAUUAUUAACAUUAUGAAAAAUUAAAAUUAAUGGAGACUUCUUCACUAACAGUGAGUUACAGUAUCUGAUUCAUGAAAUGCAAUGUUUUGUAUUGAAUUUCUGUUUGACUUCGGGUAUCAAUAAGCAUUUGGUAACAAACUGAAGUCUUAACCCAGGAAUUUAUACCUUUAAAUUAUUUCCAAUAAUGAUUCGGUGCCAAGCAGCAAAUCAUUUGCUUUCCAGUUUAGUAGUAAACCAGAUUAUUUUAAUUUUCCCUUCCUUAGUCACUCCCCAAACCCUUUAAUAACUUGGUCCCCCUUUUAUGUCUCACUGGCUUCAUUAGUAAAUUAGACCUACAGGUUUUAGGCUUAAUGAUAUGCUGAAAUUGUUAAACCUUUAGUGUGCUUAAUGGAACAAGGCGUCGACAAGAGUUUGUGUCCCUAAAUUAACCUAAAUAUUUUAAUUGGUAACCUUGAUGAUGGUCGUUACACCAUCCCCUCUUUUUUCCCCACAAUAUAACAAAGGCUAAAAAUCAAAACUAUAACUGGCCCCAAAGAGGGACAUUCUUCAGGCCACAACAUGUUUCCAUUCAGAAAAAGUCAGUGCUUUCUCAAAGUGUGUACAUGUGAGUGUGUUUGUAUGUAUGUAUGUGUGUGUGUGUGUAUCUAAGUAUACACACAUACAUUUGUGUCUUUCUUUGUUAAAUCACUUUCAGGGACUAAUGUCUUUGAAAUCAGAAGCAAAAUGAUUUCCAUGUUUACUCUGGGAUGUUAGUUAUUUGAGGAUUAUAUCACCAUUUUGUGUGUGUGUGUGUAUAUAUAUGUAUAUAUAUAGACACAUACACACACACAUACAUACUCACACACAUCUAAUUUGUGAUUUAAAUUGUUUUGAUUUCAAAAGAAAUAAAUCUGAAUUUUUUUUUUCAAUUUGUGACAUUUUCAUUAAUGUAGGCUUAAUUUCAUAACUUAAUUGACACAUUUUAAUAAAUUUAGCCUUCAAGUCAAAUUGCCCGGUAAUAAUUCUAACCUUCAUUUCGUUCUCCUGUUAAUUGGCCUUCUAAUUGUACUUUGAUAGCUAAACCUUUAGAUCAUGGCUCUAAUUGCUAAUAAGGCUUCUGUAAGCCACUCUGAAUUUUUGUUCUUGUUUCCCCCUUUAUACUUGUGUAACAUUGUAGCUGGGUUUGGCUCAACAUUUAAAAUAAAGAAUUCUUCACAAAGAA